CAUCGCCCGGGAACUACGAGCCAAGCUUAAAACCCAAAGGACUUGACGGUACCCCAUAUCCACCUAGAGGAGCCUGUCCUAUAAUCGAUAACCCCCGCUUAACCUCACCAUUUUUAGCUAUAUCAGCCUGUAUACCUCCGUCGUCAGCUUACCUCGUGAGCGAAGUCUAGUGAGCUUAAUGUCCUUACAUCAAUACGUCAGGUCAAGGUGCAGUAAAUGAAAUGGGAAGAGAUGGGCUACACUCUCUAAUUUAGAAUACACGGAAGACUAUAUAUGAAAUCCUAGUCAAAAGGCGGAUUUAGUAGUAAAAAGAAACCAUAGUGUCCUUUUUAACCCGGCACUGGGGUGUGUACAC
rnacentral:rRNA from 1 species